GAUGAGCUGCUCUUGCUUUUUUGACCAGAGACUAUUCACAGCUGGAAUAAGUACUACAUCCACUAAACAUUAUGGAAGCGGCUAGCUGUAAGUUGCCAAGUGGCAUGGUGCCAUGUGAUGGCUGACUUUUCCAGGUCUUCACAUGAGAGGGGUCAACACUACACUGGGAUGUCAAGGUCACCAUGGUGCCCGAUACCUUUGUAGAUAUUAUUUUGCAGGCAUUCCCACAUAAAAAACACAAGGCUAGGAGGGACUGAAGACACGAUUCGAAGACUAUGAACUUCCUCUCUCUCAUAGGGGUGUGAGUAUAUUCUCUAAACAAAAAAAGAUAAAUACUAAAUUUAAUUAUCACAAUUUUAAAUUAAUCCAUUGUGUUAUUUGAUGUUUUUACUUACUCAUCGCUCAUUUCCAUUUCAAAAUCUCGGUCAGAGUCUUCAUCUUCCUCAGGAAUGUAGUCUAAAUCACCAUCAUCAUCAUCAUCAGCAGCAGCAGCACUACUGUCGUCUGAAAAAUCCACUUCCAUUGAAGAACAGUUCUUUUCAACCGAGUUGCCGAGCUUAACCUGGCAGGAAAAAUCCUUUGCUCUUGAAAGCAGGCUUUGGGUCCCUCGAUGACAUUUGGCAACUGGAGUGACAUGCCAGGAUUUUGGAGUUUGACAUGAUCUAGUGCAUUUCACAUCUGUUUCAGUCUGUGACAUUUUAUUCUGAAAAUUAAUAAAAAAUGAAAUGUUUACAAUUCUGAAAAUAAGUUUUCAAAAGAUCUUUGGGUCGGGAUUUAUAAAAUUCUAAUUCCCAAGUCUUUUGUAGAGAAAAUUAAGUUUUAUGGAAGGAAUUUUUAAAUUUAUAUUGGACCCAGUCCUACAUACCAUUCCAGUUGACAUUGUCUGUACACAUGCAUGGGUGGUCAGAGGUAGUUCAAAAGACACAUUAGGCUUGGCAUUCGUUGAGAUGUCGGUUUCAUAGCAAGCCUCUGCAUCAUCCGACGACUCCAUUUGACAUACACUUGCCUCAUAAGCUUGUAGAGCACAGCUAACUGUCUGAAAUAUAUGUAAUGGAAGAGAUUACAGUGGAUAA